rnacentral:rRNA from 1 species
CCUACGGGAGGCAGCAGUUAUUAAUAUUUUUCCCUUUUCUUUCUCCUUCACCAGCCAAGUCGCGUGAGGGAAGACGGUCCUAUGGAUUGUAAACCUCUUUAGGCGGGGAGCAAUGCCGGGCACGUGUGCCCGGAGGGAGAGUACCCGCAGAAUAAGCAUCGGCUAACUCCGUGCCAGCAGCCGCGGUAAUACGGAGGAUGCGAGCGUUAUCCGGAUUUAUUGGGUUUAAGGGGUGCGUAGGCGGAUUUUUAAGUCAGCGGUAAAAUGUCCGGGCUCAACCCGGGCCGGCCGUUGAAACUGGGGAUCUGGAGUGGGCGAGAAGUAUGCGGAAUGCGUGGUGUAGCGGUGAAAUGCAUAGAUAUCACGCAGAACUCCGAUUGCGAAGGCAGCAUACCGGCGCCCGACUGACGCUGAGGCACGAAAGCGUGGGGAUCGAACAGGAUUAGAUACCCCUGUAGUC